GGCCAUACAACAAAACAGAGGACCAUUUAUAUUUCCCCCCUUCCGUCAAAAAAACAACAAGGGAGAGGAAAAUGGUUCAGUGCUUGAAGCCUUUGAAGAAGAACAGCCUGCUGUUAGUGAGGAUGAACACAGUUUACCUGAUCUAAAAGCCAUUGAUGAUAUUGUAGAAUUUAUCUCUCAGGAUGAAUUGGUUAAUGACGAGGAGCAGGAUCUUGAUGAUGAUUUUGAUACGCCAGAGGAAAAGGUAAAUGUUAAUGGCAGCAUAGUUGAUCAUGGGGGACUGGAAACUCACGUUGGG
rnacentral:lncRNA from 1 species